rnacentral:rRNA from 1 species
CCCUUAGAUGUUCUGGGCAGCACGCGCGCUACAAUGGUCUUCGCAAACGGAUGCAUUCUCGAAGGAGAAUGCCAAUCUUGGAAUCUAUGCCUUGGUCGGGACAGUUGCUUGCAAUUUUUCGACUCGAACCAGGAAUUCCUUGUAAUCGUGAUUCAUCACAUCACGAUGAAUACGUCCCUGCCCUUUGUACACACCGCCCGUCGCACCUACCGAUUGAAUGGUCCGGUGAAAUCUUGGGAUCCUGUGAGACGGUCUUUAUUGUACUGUUUUGUGGGAGAACUUGAGUAAACCUUACCAUUUAGAGGAAGGUGAAGUCGUAACA